GGUUGUGGCUCAGUGGUAGAGUGCCCGCCUAGCAUACAGGAGGCACUGGGUUCAAUCCUCAGCCCA
rnacentral:tRNA from 1 species